rnacentral:lncRNA from 1 species
AUCCUGAUGAUCCUCACGGAUAGCUCUAGUCACGUCCCACACAUACUUCUAGCCCAAGAUGAACAGGUUGCAACAAAGAUGUGUUUGUGCACGCAUGUAUGUGUAUAUGUGUGUGCAUGUGUGUGUGUGUGUGUGUGUAAGUGGCGCUGCCCUAAACACUCAUUACAUCUUCACAGCAUGAACAGGUACAUUUAGAUAGGUGCUGCAGUAUCCCCUUUUACAGGUGAAAAGAUUUAGAUACUUUCCCUGUGUCAGGCCGUAGGUUAGGAUCAGAGCCAGGAUUCUGCCUGGAACAGGU